AAUGGACUGAGUGGGUACAGGAUUCAGAAUCCAUAAGGGAUCCAGAAUGUGACUCCUGACUUCCUGUGGUCCAAGACUGAUGGGAAAACUAAUACUGCAGGAGCAGCCGAUUCGAUUUCCAUCUGCCCAGCAGGGGUUGCCUGCCAGUGAUGCCCUCUUGUGAUCUGUACAGACUAGCUAGGAAUUGUCUAUUCAGGUCAGAUGUCAGUGGGCGUCCCCAAUCCUGCUGUCCCUUGUUUCCUUUUAGCACAACCUUUCGAUUGUCAUCACCGAUGAGUAAUGUGGAAAAACCGGUAUUAACCCAAAACUACCUCAGGCUUCCUCAGUUUCCUACAACGUCCUCACCUGAGGGUGCACUGGUUAACUUAGUCAUCAGAUCUCCUGGGCUACUCUGGGUUGCAGCAGCAUCUCAGAUGUUCUCAUCAUGGACAACCGGAUACUCCAGGAGGACAGGAUGAUAACUCAUGGAACUUGCCUGCUGAUAUUUGUCUCAGAUUUGCUCCCAAAUGAUCCUGAAGGCAUCCUUAGGGGAGCAUGGCAGAGGCCAAGUGACCUUCUUUACAGGCAUUUGAGAAAUGCAAAGACUCUGGCUCUUGUAAUAGGUCCCUAGCCAGCAUCUCCUGAGUAUCUAUGUGUACAGCCUGGGCAGGGUUGGGGGUCCAGGGGAUGACCCAGGUUGGCCUAUAUCCAGAGUAUAGAUGACAGGGUUUCCUCCUGAUGAGGCACUGGCAAAAGAUUCUGGCCAGAACGGGGACCAUCUAAGCAAGCGAUGGCUUUUAGAGACAGCCAGGGGCGUGGCUAUCCUCCCUGCGUUCUAAGCUUGCUUACCUGCGUGAGCUCAGGUCUCUGUCAGUGGACUCUCAUGCCUCAGUUCUUCCAUUGAGCAUAUCCAGGGUGUGAACCCUAGAGCAGUGGGCAAGGAGAGGGCCCCAGGAUGUCCCAGUGAGACCUCCACCCACUAAUCUCUGCAUGAACCUGAGGAGCGAAUUAGCCGUGUCUGCAUUUUUCCCAGAGGACCUUGGCUUCUUCUGCCCCCUGCGGCAUCUCUGAUGCCCACAUCUCAGCAUCCAAGUUAAAUCGUGCCAGUGACUCGGUGCUGUGGUCUCUUUUGGACAUCUGGAUAGCAACCUGGGCUGUGGGUAAGCAAGUUUCUGAGAAACUAGCAGAGAUCCGUCUUGGAUCCCUGGUUGAAAGGAUCUCCUGCCAGACCUGUACACACCUUGUGAGUGGGAAAGGCCUUGGUGGAGCCCUGAAGAAUCCCCAGUCUCCCAGACUCUUGUCCUCACCUCAGACACUGGGAUCUAUACUUUCUUGAUUGGUUGUAGAUUUAUUUUUGAAGCCAUGCAGGGGUUAGGGCAAAUAAGGUCAUCAGAAGUGACCAGAAAAGAAUGGAACAGACAAACAAAUAAAAGGCAGAACAGACCAGGGUGACUCUUCCCCUACCUGCCCCGUUGUGGAGUCUGCCUGUGCUUCAGGCCUAAAUUUCCAACCCAUCACAGGACCCGUACUUCAUAGAUAGUAAUUCAUGCAGAAGCAGUCGCUUCUUGGACUGAUUUCCUCACCAUUCCGACUAAGACCUAACCUGCUGAGAAGGAGGUAGGACUGUGGCCAGGAGGGAGGUCCCAUCGGAGUAGAGUGGACCUAGGCUGUUUAUUAAACAUUGUCUUCAGAGCUGCUAAACCCUUCAGGGCCUGAGGUCAUUGUCCGGGUGCCUGUCCACAGUCACUGAGAGAGGGAAGAUGACUAGACUGUCUGCAGGGACCUCUCCUAGUACUAAGCCUGAUGGGAACUGGACCUCAUGUGGUCCAAGGGGGACAACAUGGUAUGCUCCGUGCACAAGUCAAGGAAAAAUUCCACAGAAUCAACCCUGAGCAGUGCCAGGACCCCCGUGGUCAUGCCAGGACUGGCUAAAUGCAAUCAGGUAGGUUAAAGACCGCAAGACAGUGUGGGGAGCCACCCCUGCCCUUUCCUGCACUGCCCUACCCUGCCCCGAGGUCGCUAAAUAGUUAAAAGAAAAGAAUCAGGGAAACCAAGCUGUCAAGUAGUUAAUUGACUUUUCCUCAAUCAGCUCAAUGAAUAUUCAUGAGGUGGCUGGUCCUCCUCAGGGUGCUGUUGUCGCUGCUGCAGCUCCUCUUCCUCAGAGCUGACAUGACAUCCUGCGCCAGCCUCUUCCAGCCCACAGUUGGCCCUGAUUGGCUCAGCUGCACUCUUGAAAAUGCCAUAGCAACCCUUGGCUGGUUGCCUAGCAAUCCUUCCUUCUCUUCCUCUCUCACCCCCUCCUAAAACCUAAGCCAGUAAUCCAUAGGCUUAGGGUAGAAGUAUCUUCAUGUAUGGUGAGUGUGUGCACACAAGUAUAUGGAUGCGUAUGUGGGGGUGUGCGUGUGUAUAAGUGUGCAAGAGGAGAAGGCUGAGGGGACCCUCUCCUUUCGGUUACUGUCCUGGUUCCAGUGCCACAGAUAAAAGAUACGGGCAUAGACUCCUGGCCAGGCAGGUCAUCUUGGGAUGUUCACCACAACACCCAAAGCCAGAACCCUCUAUCCUGAGUCCACUUCCCAGAUAUUGUGGGACCCAGGGUUUAUCUCCAAUAGUUCCUCAAAGGUGAGAACCAAAGGUGUCCUCAACUGAAGUUACUAUCCAGCAUGAGGGCCUCUGUUCUGUGCAUAGCCUGGGCAGAGAGGCCUAGGUGCCCUGUUUUAGGAAGCCGCUGUCUGGGAUGGUAGAUGCACCCUAAAAGCCACGUGGGUCAUCAGGUGGAUGUCCCUGGGGUAGACGCAUUAGAGUAGUCGCCAAGAGACUGUGGAGCUGAGCAUUGGCCCAGGAGCAUUGUGGACAUUCUGACCUUUGUACCGCCUUCCAUCCUCUGCCCAGGUCUUGGAGGGUGUGUUGUGCUCAGUCCUGGGCCUGCCUUCAGCGGACACUUCCUAUGGGUGUCAAGAAAAGGGUCAGAUAUAGGGAGGGGAGCAGAGGAUACCACAGAUUGGUGUUGGUUUUGUUUUUUGCCUACAUGGAAGAUUUGUGGAGGUGUCAUCCCAGGGAGGUAGGCAUGUCGCCUAGACCAACAGACACUGGUGUUGACAUAGAGGGGCACUGAUCUAGGCCUGACUCUUAUUUAGGGUCUAUGGAUAGGGUGUCAGAGGGGAGGACGUGGGAAGUCAAGGUGUAGAAUCCUAUUAGCCUCACCUGGGGCAGGCUAGACAGUCUGGUCUGUGUGUUCAUAUCAGGGCAUUCUGUCCACUGAAGAUGCUGUGGGGGAGGCCUGGUAUAAUUCCUAAAAUGAUGUAGGGGAUAAUGAUUGUUUUUAUGAGAGAAGAUAGGUAAAAAAUGACAAUAAGUACCCAGGGGACUGUGCUACAUUCUGUAACAAGAUGUCACAGCAACGAGCCCUCUUUUGAUAUCAGCAGCAUGUCAGGAUCAAGAAGCCAGUGAACUGAGGCAAAGUCAAUUGCUGUCCCCCAUACUCCCAAGUUAAAAUGAACUACAUAUGCAUGAAUGCGCCCUACGUGGGGUGUGCAUGCCACCCCGUGUGUACCCAGGUGCGUGAACAUGCACAUACAUGGGCAUACCAUUGCAUGCCUGCUCAAGGGUGACUGACUAUGCACACACGUGUGGAUAUGUGUGUAUGCCUAUGUAUACAUGCCCGUGUAUGAACAUAUGCAUGUGUAUGGAUAUGUAUGCAUGCACGCGUGUGCGCAUCUAUUUUUGUAUUGAUGUGUCCACAGACAUAAGUGUGUGUGCAUGCUUGUGCAUAUAUAUUUAUGUGUGAAUGUUUGCCUCCACAUAGCUGUGCAUGUGUGCACAUAUCUGCAUAUGUGUAUAAAUGUGCAUGGACUACACUCUGGCGUGUUGAGUGACAACAACUGAUAUGGACACUUUAUUUUUGACCAGUGAAAGCAACACUCCUGGGCUCCCUGCUGAGCCCUGCUCUGGUUUCCCUGUUAAACACAGCAAACGUGCGUCUCCAAUAAAAAGCUACACAGCAACUUAAUCUUCAAUCGAUUGCAAAGAAAGGAAAAUAAGACCCUGCUCCCUGGGGCCCAGGCUGCCUGAUAGGCAGUUGUUCCUGAUAUAGAAUGUGGGCGAUAGAUGCAUUAAAUAUAAAUGGAGAUACAGGGGCGAUCGAUAAACCCCGCUUCCUCCAUGCUAAUUGAAAACCGAGUCAAGGUUUGAUUAAUGUGGAGGUCCUUUGGGUGUAGCAGAAGCCUCGAAUCAGUUCAUGGCGGGAGCUCCCUCCCCACUGACAGUCAGGGGCUGUGCUGCAUUUGGGGCAGUAGGUGAGGUUUUUUCCAGCCAGACCUAGAGAAACAGGGUUAGCCAUUAUUGGGAAUAACAUUAUUGAGGGUGGUCAGCCUGUGAGGAGGGGGUGAGGAUGAUGGUUCCCUCCCCUUCUCAGAGGAGAAAGGUAAUUUUUGUCUGGAGACCACAGUGGGUAGGAUUCGGGGUGUAUGAGGACUCCUAGUGGUAGGGUAUCUCCAGGGCAGUAAGGGAGGCAGGCCGCGGAGACAGCUGGAGUCAGAGUGCUCGACCUGGCACUGAUGUAGAAGGCAGAGAACCCUGUCCUCCGGGGAGUCUAGAUACUCACGAAUCUGCUUCCCGGCACUCUUGUAGACCACAUCCAGGUACCUAAGCACAGGACCUCACAUCAGCACGGAGGAAGGGGUAGUCAGUCAGACAUUCCACUAAGUCACACAGGAUCGCACUCCUACCCCAAUGAAGGGACAUGCGAAUGAAGUUCACACUUGGGAGUCCGCUUCUGGGGAGGCUAAAGGAUCGUGGGUUCCCAGAAAUAGCUGAGUCCCUCUGAGCCCACCUAGGAGAGUGGGGCACUCCACAGUGUGUCUGGGCUAUAUUUGCUGCCCUGGGAUUUGGGGAGCUGAGUACUUUCUUGAGGCUAUGGUCCUCAGUGGGAUACCUUGUGUGCAAGAGAGAGAACCUGUGGAAAAGGAGGUAGAUAAAUCACGCACCCCAUGUCUUCCUUUGGAGGUAUGGAUAGUCCCAACCAAAGGUCACAGGAGAGGGUACAAAUGGUGCCAGGGUUGGCCCUUUGACCCACUGCCCUAUAUAUAGAUUCCUUGCUUAGCCUGGGAGUCAUAAGCUCUGGUUUUGUGGGUUAGGGCUGCUAGGGUAUCUUCAGAGGAUUUGCUGCCUGCAUGGGUGUGGUAAACUUGUGUGCAUAUGUGUACAAGUGUAUGGUAUAAUAUAGCAUGCUAUUGCUUGAACAUAUAGUAUCUCACAU